AAGCUGACAGAGCAUGUGGUGUUGCUGUUGAUGCUGUGAAAGACAGUGCCCCAGGGCAGCCUGUGUUCCCACCCUCGGCUUGGCAAGAACUGAGAAAUACAUGCCACGGAAGGAAUAAGAACAACACCCACAAGGUGAUACAUGUUUCCUCCAAAAUCCAAUAAGACAUACCAAGCAAUGUGCCUCUUUCUAAGUGGUGGGUACUGGGCCCUUGCCAGCGACCAAUGGGAACAAUAGGACUGACUUAGGAAAUGGUUACAGACAAGAAAGAAGAGCAAAAAGAAUGUAUGUAUAUGUGCCUAUGUGAGUGUGCAUAUUUGUGUCUGAGUGUGUGUGUGAGACAGAGAGAGAGAUUUCUGGUAUUUCUCGAAUUAUAUUACCAAUUAAAAUUUAACAAAAAAUUUGGAGUUAUUUGUUGAUUUCUAUUAGCAAUUAACACCUAUAUUUAUAUUAACUAAUAUUUCUGAUUUAAAUAACAUCCUAUUUUCUACUUUAAACAUAAUUCUUAUCAAACUUUGUAAAUUAGCUUUUUUUUUCCAAAAAUUAUACUUUC